rnacentral:rRNA from 1 species
UGCAGCGACGCCGCGUGAGGGAUGACGGCCUAUCGGGUUGUAAACCUCUUUCAGCAGGGACGAAGCGCAAGUGACGGUACCUGCAGAAGAAGCACCGGCCAACUACGUGCCAGCAGCCGCGGUAAGACGUAGGGUGCGAGCGUUGUCCGGAUUUAUUGGGCGUAAAGAGCUCGUAGGCGGCUUGUCGCGUCGACCGUGAAAACUUGGGGCUCAACCCCAAGCCUGCGGUCGAUACGGGCAGGCUAGAGUUCGGUAGGGGAGACUGGAAUUCCUGGUGUAGCGGUGAAAUGCGCAGAUAUCAGGAGGAACACCGGUGGCGAAGGCGGGUCUCUGGGCCGAUACUGACGCUGAGGAGCGAAAGCGUGGGGAGCGAACAGGAUUAGAUACCCUGGUAGUCCACGCUGUAAACGUUGGGCGCUAGGUGUGGGGGGCCUCUCCGGUUCCCUGUGCCGCAGCUAACGCAUUAAGCGCCCCGCCUGGGGAGUACGGCCGCAAGGCUAAAACUCAAAGGAAUUGACGGGGGCCCGCACAAGCGGCGGAGCAUGCGGAUUAAUUCGAUGCAACGCGAAGAACCUUACCUGGGUUUGACAUGGCCGCAAAACUUCCAGAGAUGGGAGGUCCUUCG